CGUCUACAGAACUGUAAGGAUGAAGUAUCUUUUUGUCCUCGUGUGUGUGUUCUGUGUUGCUGCUGCUAACAAUUAUGGAGGAGGCGGCGGCGGAAUCUGGGGAGGAAGACCAAAUAUUGGAGGCAACGGUGGAUGGGCGGGUAGCGGAGGCAAUGGUGGUUGGCCAAGUGGAGGGGGAGGUAUAGGAG